GAUGAACGCUAGCGACAGGCCUAACACAUGCAAGUCGAGGGGCAUCGGGGCGUAGCAAUACGCUGCCGGCGACCGGCGGAUGGGUGAGUAACGCGUAUGCAACCUACCUUCAGCAGGGGGAUAGCCCGUUGAAAGACGGAUUAAUACCCCAUAACACAGGGGCUCCGCAUGGAGAUUAUUGUUAAAGGGAUGCUUCCUUCGGGGAGUAUCCGGCUGCAGAUGGGCAUGCGUUCCAUUAGGUAGUUGGUUGAGGUAACGGCUCACCAAGCCUACGAUGGAUAGGGGAACUGAGAGGUUGGUCCCCCACACUGGUACUGAGACACGGACCAGACUCCUACGGGAGGCAGCAGUGAGGAAUCUUGGUCAAUGGACGGAAGUCUGAACCAGCCAUGUCGCGUGAAGGAGGACGGCCCUAAGGGUUGUAAAACUUCUUUUGCAGGGGAAUAAAGUAUUCUACGAGAUGGGAUAUUGCAAGUACGCUGCGAAUAAGGAUCGGCUAACUCCGUG
rnacentral:rRNA from 1 species